CACUUCCUCAUUACCAGAAGGAUGUGGAAGCUUUAAAGAGGGUGCAGAACAGACUUUCCAGAUGUUACCUGGACUAGAGAUGUGGUUCUGGGAGCCUGCAAUCUACAUUUUGAUGGUGUUUUUUCAGGCUGGUUGAGUGAUCUGGCAUGUUGCUGUCUCCGAAAGGAUUCUGUGAGGCGUGUGACCUUGAGGCCAAGAAGUCUGGAGACAGGGAGCAAGCCCCUGAUUGGCUCCAUUUCUCGCUGAUCUCAUUGGUUAAAGUGCCAAGGAAGAUUAAAAUCAUGGAGACGAUCAAGCCGGCAAACUGAAUUCAUGUCCCAGCAAGAAUCUGUCAUAUUUACAGACUACUGUUGUAUGGACAUAUGCAACAGGAUGACAAUGUAUCAUGCAGUAUGCUGCUAUGCAUUCACAUUACAAACCGAGAAGUAGAAUAGAAACAAUGAAAAACAACACACGAGCAAAGACCGACAAACAACCGAUG